GAUGAACGCUGGCGGCGUGCUUAACACAUGCAAGUCGAACGAAGCACCUCUCCCGAAGAUUGACACAGCUUGCUGUAGAUUGAUUCAUUUGAGGUGACUGAGUGGCGGACGGGUGAGUAACGCGUGGGUAACCUGCCUCAUAGAGGGGGACAACAGUUGGAAACGACUGCUAAUACCGCAUAGUAAGAAGAAUUCGCAUGUUUUCUUCUUGAAAGAUUUAUCGCUAUGAGAUGGACCCGCGUCUGAUUAGCUAGUUGGUAAGGUAACGGCUUACCAAGGCGACGAUCAGUAGCCGGCUUGAGAGAGUGAACGGCCACAUUGGGACUGAGACACGGCCCAAACUCCUACGGGAGGCAGCAGUGGGGAAUAUUGCACAAUGGGGGAAACCCUGAUGCAGCGACGCCGCGUGAGUAAAGAAGUAUUUCGGUAUGUAAAGCUCUAUCAGCAGGGAAGAUAAUGACGGUACCUGACUAAGAAGCCCCGGCUAACUACGUG
rnacentral:rRNA from 1 species